rnacentral:rRNA from 1 species
AAGACAUGCAAGUCGAACGGAAGUCGUUAUAAUGAUUUGAUUUAGAUUGAAGAUCGUCCGAUAUGAAGAAGAUGAUGACUAUAACAAUGGCUUAGUGGCGGACUGGUGAGUAACGCGUAAGCAAUCUGCCUAUUAGAGGGGAAUAACAGUGAGAAAUCAUUGCUAAUACCGCAUAUGCCAUAGUUAUCGCAUGAUAGUAGUGGGAAAGGAGCAAUCCGCUAAUAGAUGAGCUUGCGUCUGAUUAGUUAGUUGUGGGGUAACGGCCUACCCAAGACCACGAUCAGUAGCCGGGCUGAGAGGUUGAACGGCCACAUUGGGACUGAGAUACGGCCCAGACUCCUACGGGAGGCAGCAGUCGGGAAUAUUGCGCAAUGGAGGAAACUUCCUGACGCAGUGACGCCGCGUAUAGGAUGAAGGUUUUCGGAUUGUAAACUAUUGUCGUUAGGGAAGAUAAAAGACAGUACCUAAGGAGGAAGCUCCGGCUAACUACGUGCCAGCAGCCGC